rnacentral:rRNA from 1 species
UACGUAGGGUCCAAGCGUUGUUCGGAUUUAUUGGGCGUAAAGGGCGCGUAGGCGGCUUGACAAGUCUCUUGUGAAAUCUCGGGGCUUAACUCGGAACGGCCAAGUGAAACUGUCGUGCUAGAGUGCAGAAGGGGCAAUCGGAAUUCUUGGUGUAGCGGUGAAAUGCGUAGAUAUCAAGAGGAACACCUGAGGUGAAGACGGGUUGCUGGGCUGACACUGACGCUGAGGCGCGAAAGCCAGGGGAGCAAACGGG